GAUGAACGCUAGCUACAGGCUUAACACAUGCAAGUCGAGGGGCAGCAUGAACUUAGCUUGCUAAGUUUGAUGGCGACCGGCGCACGGGUGAGUAACACGUAUCCAACCUGCCGAUGACUCGGGGAUAGCCUUUCGAAAGAAAGAUUAAUACCCGAUGGCAUAGUUCUUCCGCAUGGUAGAACUAUUAAAGAAUUUCGGUCAUCGAUGGGGAUGCGUUCCAUUAGGUUGUUGGCGGGGUAACGGCCCACCAAGCCUUCGAUGGAUAGGGGUUCUGAGAGGAAGGUCCCCCACAUUGGAACUGAGACACGGUCCAAACUCCUACGGGAGGCAGCAGUGAGGAAUAUUGGUCAAUGGACGAGAGUCUGAACCAGCCAAGUAGCGUGAAGGAUGACUGCCCUAUGGGUUGUAAACUUCUUUUAUACGGGAAUAAAGUGAGGCACGUGUGCCUUUUUGUAUGUACCGUAUGAAUAAGGAUCGGCUAACUCCGUGCCAGCAGCCGCGGUAAUACGGAGGAUCCGAGCGUUAUCCGGAUUUAUUGGGUUUAAAGGGAGCGUAGGCGGACGCUUAAGUCAGUUGUGAAAGUUUGCGGCUCAACCGUAAAAUUGCAGUUGAUACUGGGUGUCUUGAGUACAGUAGAGGCAGGCGGAAUUCGUGGUGUAGCGGUGAAAUGCUUAGAUAUCACGAAGAACUCCGAUUGCGAAGGCAGCCUGCUGGACUGUAACUGACGCUGAUGCUCGAAGGUGUGGGUAUCAAACAGGAUUAGAUACCCUGGUAGUCCACACAGUAAACGAUGAAUACUCGCUGUUUGCGAUAUACAGUAAGCGGCCAAGCGAAAGCGUUAAGUAUUCCACCUGGGGAGUACGCCGGCAACGGUGAAACUCAAAGGAAUUGACGGGGGCCCGCACAAGCGGAGGAACAUGUGGUUUAAUUCGAUGAUACGCGAGGAACCUUACCCGGGCUUGAAUUGCAACUGAAUGAUGUGGAGACAUGUCAGCCGCAAGGCAGUUGUGAAGGUGCUGCAUGGUUGUCGUCAGCUCGUGCCGUGAGGUGUCGGCUUAAGUGCCAUAACGAGCGCAACCCUUAUCGAUAGUUACCAUCAGGUUAUGCUGGGGACUCUGUCGAGACUGCCGUCGUAAGAUGUGAGGAAGGUGGGGAUGACGUCAAAUCAGCACGGCCCUUACGUCCGGGGCUACACACGUGUUACAAUGGGGGGUACAGAAGGCAGCUACACGGCGACGUGAUGCUAAUCCCGAAAGCCUCUCUCAGUUCGGAUUGGAGUCUGCAACCCGACUCCAUGAAGCUGGAUUCGCUAGUAAUCGCGCAUCAGCCACGGCGCGGUGAAUACGUUCCCGGGCCU
rnacentral:rRNA from 1 species